rnacentral:snoRNA from 1 species
UUCAUACAUAUACCUACUUCCGGAUUACCAGCAGAACCGAUGUCGUCUCCGUUUGGUAAAUGCAAAAAUGGCUGGAAGGAGAUCAAUCACCAUCAUUAUAUAAUCUAGACUAAUGGGAGGCCUCGGCCUCCUUGAUAUUAACUCUAGUUCGCGUGAUGGGCACACAC